rnacentral:lncRNA from 1 species
CUUGGUGCUUCUCAGCUUCGUUAUUUCCAGGACGAAAUGGAGGUAUCUGUCAUUAACUUUGUAAAUAUAUAUAUAAUGUUAUUUAUAUGUAUGUUGAUUUUAAUUCAAAAUAAUAUAUAUAUAUAUAUAUAUUAGGUGGGCAGAACAGUUGGUUUUUAUUAAUUAAUUUCGGAUUCGGAGGAAUUUCAAGUUUUCUUGAUUCAUCACUAGGCCCAAGUCAGAUUUGUUGAAGUCAUCUCUACUGGUCCGGCUAUACCAGUUAUUCAAUUAACUGCUUUAAACCUCAGGCAACUCACGUCUGCUUCUUGUUUUUUAUCGCAACUCCCAAUUUUCUUGUCGUCUUCUUUCGUUCAUGGCCGAUUCUUCUUAUUUAGCAAACUUCAUUUGCGAGCCAACAAUGGCAGAUUACAUUUCGAAGACUCGAAACAGAGGUAGUCUCUUCUUUAUCCUCUUCCAUCCUGACUGCCUAGAAAAUAUUGGAGAAAAGGUGCAGCUGUUCUGAUGGCCGAGAGGCUAUCAUAAAUCAGGUAUGUCAUUAUUCUUUUAUGAUGAUUUUCUAUUUUUCACUUUCUGUUCGUUAUCUAGUCAUUAUAAUAGGAAUGAAUUGUUGUCAACAAGUUCUUUUUGACAUUGGCUGGUGAUAAGGGAUCAAAUGUGAGAUUACGUGCUGUUAUAUAUAUCCAUAUACGUGUGUGUAUAUAUAUAUAUAAAUGUAUAUGAAAUCUCUGGUAAUCUAAACAGUUAAUUAAAUUCUUUAAAUUUUUGAGAUGAUUAGUUUAUUAAUUUUUUAAAAUAAUAUCAAAAUUAGAAUUCUAGUGUUCAACUUUUAUUUCUUAUAUUUUUAUUAAAAAUUAAAUACACUUUUAAUUUAAUGAUUUAAUUAGGUCGUUAAAAUAUCAAUGUUGAUUGUAUCGUACUCAUUCAGUUAAGUUUUUAGAAUUAUUAUUUUAUUAAAUUAUUUAAGAAAACAUAUCUGCUGAAACUUCCCAAGGACUCUUUAAAUCUGCAGAUAGACGGGUGCUGAAACAUAUUAUAGCUGUAAAAUAAAAAUUAGUCUUCAAUGGAGUUUGAAUCUUUCUUUUCCACCGCUUUUUUUACUUUUCUUUUCUUGCUUCUGAUUCUGAAAAUUGUUAAGUAUCCAAAAGCCGAAAACAAAAGAGCAGCAAAGCUACCUCCAGGGCCAUGGAAGCUGCCUUUGAUAGGCAACAUACACCAGUUGAUCUGCUCACUCCCCCAUCACUCGCUAAGAGACUUGGCCAAGAAAUAUGGACCCUUGAUGCACGUGCAGCUCGGCCAAGUCUCAACCGUUGUUAUUUCUUCUCCAGAAAUCGCAGAAGAGGUCUUGAAAAACCAUGACAUCGUAUUUUCUAAUAGACCCCGUCUUGUUGCUUCUGACAUACUGGCGUACAAUUCUACAGACAUAAUAUUUUCCCCAUACGGUGACUAUUGGAAGAAACUGCGAAGAAUCUGCAACAUUGAACUUUUGUGCCCGAAACGUGUCCACUCUUUGAGGUUGAUCAGGGAAGAAGAGGUGGCGCGUCUAAUCAAAACUAUCUCUUUGAGCGAAGGUUUGCCUAUCAACCUCAGUGAAAAGGUUUUUUCGUUGACAUACGGCAUAACAUCGCGAGCAGCCUUUGGUGGUAAAUGGAAGGACCAAGAGGCAGUUGUUUCCAUCGUCAAGAAAGGAGUGGCGCUAGCAUCAGGCUUCUGUCUUGCCGAUAUGUACCCUUCAUGUAAAGUGCUUGAGCUGGUGAGUGGAUUGAGGCUUAAGCUUGAGAAUCUGCAUAAAGAGAGUGAUAGGGUUCUUGGAGACAUCCUCAAUGACCACAAACAAAAGAGACUAAAGAGGACUGGAGCAACGAGUCCAGAGCAAGAAGAUCUUGUUGAUGUUCUCUUAAACUUUCAGCAAGAUGGUGAUCUUCCCUUGACUGACAACAACAUCAAAGCAGUUAUCUUUGUUAGUACCCAACAUAUACAUAUUUAGUUAAAUAGAUAAUAAUUAGAAUGGACGGUUAAUUUUGCAAAAAGCAGAAUGUGGAAGAAGGUAAUUUUCAUAACGUGAUUGUGUCAUUUAAAAUUUUUAGUACAUUAUUAUUUGACAAAAAAAUUUAAUGAAACAAUCACGUGUAUGGAACUAUGCUGAGAAUUAUUUGACGAAGUUUAUGUCUUGGUUCUAUCAAGAGUCUCAGACUGAAAUUACAUUUCUCGUUUCUGCUUCAGGACAUCUUUGGUGCUGGGAGUGAAACAUCCUCGACAACUGUGGAGUGGGCAAUGUCUGAACUACUGAAAAAUCCACGGUUGAUGAAAAAGGCACAAACCGAGGUCAGGCAGGUAUUUGAUGCGAAAGGAUACGUGGACGAAACAGAACUUCAUGAGCUAAAGUUUAUUGAAUCAGUAGUGAAAGAAACACUCAGGCUACACCCUUCUGCACCUCUGUUAGUUCCAAGAGAAUCUUCUGAGGACUGCGUGAUCAAGGGGUACGAAAUACCUGCCAAUACCAAAGUCAUUGUUAACGGGUGGGCGAUAGGGAGAGAUCCAAAGUAUUGGAGUGAGCCUGAAAUAUUUGACCCAGAAAGGUUUCUUGAUAGUCGAAUUGAUUAUAAGGGAAAGGAUUUCGAAUACAUCCCGUUUGGUGCAGGAAGGAGAAUAUGUCCGGGCAUCUCAUUUGCAAUACCUAAUAUUAUAUCGCCGUUGGCACAACUGUUGUAUUAUUUCGAUUGGAAGCUCCCUGGAGGAAUGAAUUAUGAAGAUUUAGACAUGACUGAGGCCUUUGCCGUGACUGUGAGAAGGAAAUAUGAUCUUGUCCUCAUUCCCAUCAGCUAUCAUCCUUUAUCUAUCAAAUAAGAGCUUUACAAUCUAUUAAAAUUAAUAUGGUUUUCUUGUAUACCAAAUAUUUGCAGACUCUGUAGUUCGCACUGCUUAUUUUCUAAGUAGAAUCUCGAAAUGGUGAAUAAGCCCUAUAAGACUAUUCAGUAAUAAAUAAAAAAGCAUUAAGUUGUUUGCAGCUACCUACUUUCUGCAUUGAUGUAGUUGAAGUUGUUAAGAUCCAGCACAUUGAAAAUAAAAAGGAAAAAUUAAUAAUUUCAAAGAAAAGAAAAAAAAAAAGAAUUAGGUAGCUGCAACUAAUACAUAUAUAUAUAUAUACGUGUUGCACGAAAAAAAAAAGAUCUUCCGAGAAACAGAGAGGGAGGCUGUGGGGGGGAAAAGAAAGAGAGAGAGAGAAGAAAGAGAAGAUAUAUAUAUAUAUAUAUAUAAAUAUAGAGGUUGAGUGGCCGACUAGAGAAAGAGAAAAAAAGUGGUUUUUAUUCUCUACCAUUGGUGACAUCAACAAUGACAUCAUCAAUUUCGUCAUUUUGUGGAAAAAUUUAAAUUUGACUUCGUUUAACUUUUCCUUCAGUCCUUCACAAAGAAAAGUUUUCUUUUUGUUCUGGAUUUAACCAUAACUGGAUUGUCUUGUACUUGGUUUUAAUAGUAUAUUUGAUUUAAAGUUUGACCCGUUGUUUUUUCUCUCACACUAAAGUAUUUUCUAUGUAAAAAUUUUAUAUAUGUUUAAUUUUAGAAUUAUUAUUUUUACUCAAUUAUACAUUAAUUUAAUUUAAAAUUAUUAUUAAUAGUUUAUACUAAUUAAUUUGGGAUUGUCUUAAUUUACACAAUUAAUUAUAUUUAUGUUCAAGACCCAACAAGUGAUAUCAUAUGCAGGUUGGCUGAUUUGUUAAUUGAUUUGUGGUCCAGAAUUAAUCGUGCAAAUUAGAAUCGACGAAUACAUAGAUAAUAUGAUUAAACUGAUAGCUUCAAAUUAUUCAAUUUGGAAGACAGAGAUGGAAGAUUUUUUUUAUUAUAAAAUCAGUAUGAUCCUAUUAAAUUAGGAACUGCAAAGUCAGUUGAAAAAUCAGAGGAUGAUUGGAAAAAAAUGCACAGUAAAGUUGUUAGAACUAUUCGACAGUGGGUGGAUAUCAGUAUCCAUCACUACAUAAGCAAUGAAGUCAAUGCACAUGACUUGUGAAAAAAAUUGGCGAAUAUGUAUGAGAGAAAAAAUAUUCAAAAUAAAGCUUUUGUUUUAGAAAGUUAGUGAAUCUGAAGCUGCUAGAUAGACAGUCAAUGGCUUAACACUUCAAUGAGUUCUAAGAUUUGAUAAAUUAAUUGAAUAUUAUGAAACUCUAUAUGAUGAAAUGCAGACAUUAUUAUUUUUGAGUUCGUUGCCAGAUAGUUGGAAAACUUUGGUAAUGUCUUUUAGUAACUCUACUCCAGACGGUGUUUUGUCUUCAUCUAUGGUAAAAAAAAUCUCUAUAAUGAGAAAAUUAGAAGGAAGGAUGUGAGCAGUGAUACCUCAAGAGUCCUUGUCACAGAGAGCAGGGGUAGAAGUAAAAGUAUAAAUCUUAAAGGAUAUAAUAAAAACAAAUUCAGUUGUUAUCAUAGUGGUAAGGAAGAACAUAUGAAACGAAACUGUAGAAUUUAGAAAAGAGAACAUAAUAAUCAGAAAAAAACAUAUGAUUAUAGUACCACAACAAGUGUAACUGAUAAUGAAGAACUUGUUGUACUUUCUUUUGUUGAUGAUCAUGAUUAUGUUAUUGAUCUUGAUACUGAGUGAAUUGUUGAUUCAACAGCAUCCUACCAUGCUACACCUAGGAGGAAUGCCUUUAUUAUGUAUAAAGCAGGGAACUUUGACAUAGUAAAUACGGGUAAUACCAUUUAUGCAAAUAUUAUGGGUAUUGGUAAUAUUUAUGUGCAGAUAGAUGUUGGUUGCACAUUGACUCUAAAAAAUGUGUGACAUGUGCCUUAUUUACGCCUAAAUAUGAUUUCUACACAUGUUUUAGAUCUUGAUAGUUAUUAAAACUCAUUCAGUGGUAGAAAAUAGAAACUCAUCAAAGAUUCAAUUGUAGUUGCAAGGGAUAGAUUUUGUCACACUGUACAAGACUCAAGUGAAGAUAAUUAGAGAUACUAUGAAUGCAGUAAAAAAAAACAUGUUUUGCCAGAUUUGUGGCAUAGGAGGUUGGCUCAUAUGAGUGAGAAAUGAUUGCAGAUUCUAACAAAGAAGUCUCUCAUUUUCUUUGCCAAAGGUACAAAUUUAAAUUCUUGUGAUGAUUGUUUAUAUAGUAAGCAAUAUAGAAUUUUUUUUAGCAAUUCUUCUAAAAGAAAAAUGAAUUUACUUGCGUUAGUCUAUUCUAAUGUAUGUGGUCCUAUUCAUAUGAAAUUAUUAGGUGAUAAAAGAUACUUUGUUAUAUUUAUUAAUGAUGCUUCACGAAAAGUUUGAGUGUUUGUUUUCAAAAAAAAAUAUUAGGUUCUACAGUGUUUCACACAGUUCAAUGCUAUGGUAGAAAAAAAAUGAAUAUUUUUAAAGUGUCUUCGCAGUGAUAAUGAUAGUGAAUAUACUUCAAAAAAAUUUGAGAAUUACAAUUUACAGUACGAAAUCAGACAUAAAAAGAUUGUUACAGAUACUUCUCAGCACAAUAGUGUUGCUGAAAGAACAAAUAGAACCAUACUAGAGAAUGUUCAGAUGUUUGCUAAAAAUUUCUAAUAUACCAAAACCAUUUUGGAGUGAAACACUCUACACUGCCUGCUACUUGAUAAAUCGAUCUCUAUAAGCUCUUUUAGAUUUUGAUAUUCUUUUGAGAGUAUAGUCUAGGAAGGAUGUCAAUUAUUCUCAUUUUAAAGUUUUUGGUUGCAAGAUAUUUAUGCAUGUUCCUAAGGAGAGAAGCUUGAUGACAUGAUAGUUUUAUGUGUUUUUCUGGGUUAUGAAGAUACAAAAUUUGAGUACAGGUUAUGGGAUCCAGUGAAGAAGAAAGUCAUUAGGUCGAAAGAUGUAAUCUUUGAUAAAUACAAGACCCUAUUAAAUUUUGAAAUAUUUGAGAAGACUACAAGUAAAGAGAUUUAUUUUCCUACGUUUAUUCCUCUUAAAAUUAAAAAUAUCAGUAAUAAAAGAGAUGUAAGUGAUUAUGUGUCAAUACCAGUAGAUGUAAAUGAUGAUCUUUAGCAGGAGGAUCAGCCCCCUCUACUUCAAAUUAUUGAAGAAUCUCCGGUUAGAAGGUCAAACAGAACAUAUCAUUUAUCUAUCAGAUAUUUAAAUUCUUAGUAUAUUACAGUUAUUGAAGAGGGGGAGUCAGAAAGCCUUCAAGAAAUACAAAAUCAAUGGGUAAAUACAAUGAAAAUAAAUUCUUUAAAGAAAAUUUAGACUGAUUUGGUUAAUAUAGUGACCAAAAUUCGUGACAAGUAUCAAAUGUAUUAAAAUAGGAGAAUUGAGUAAAAAUUGAGUAAUAGAUGAAUGAAUAUCAUGAGUUGGAGGGAGAGAUUCUUAAGAUGCCACCCAUUUAAAAAAAAAGUUAAAUUAUUAAUUUAAAAGAAAAAAAAGGAGUUAGGGCUGCAGCUCAUAUAUAUAUAUAUAUAUAUGUAUGUUGCACCAAAAAAAAAAAAAUUUCAAAGAAAAAGAGAGAGAGGCUGCGAGGAAAAGAAAGGGAGAAAAAAGAAAGAGAAGAGAAUUAUAUAUAUAGAGAGAGAGAGAGAGAGAGAGAGAGGUUGAGUGGCUGCCAAGAGAGAAAAAAAAAAAGGUCGUUUUCAUCCUCUCUAUUUGGUGACAUCAGCAGUGACAUGAGCAAUUUUGUCCUUUUAUAAGGAAGUUUAAAUUUGAUUUUGUUUAACUUUUUCUUGUAAGUUCUGCACACAAAAAAAAUUGUUCUGAAUUUAGUCUAUAGUGGAUUAUUUUAUAUUUAUUUUUAUUGAUAGAGAAUUCGAUUUAAAGUUUGACUUGUAAUUUUUUUUUUUUUAGGUCGAAAGAUUUUUCAUAUAAAAUUUAAUAUUUAUUUAAUUUUAAAAUUAUUAUAAAUUUAUUAUUUUUAUUUAGUUGUGUAUUAAUUUAAUUUAAAAUUAUUAUUAUUAAUUAAUUUAAUAUUAUUUUAAUUUACAAAAUUAAUUAUAUCUCUAUUCGAAUCUAACAUAAGUAAAUAAUGUCUUAAUUUACAAUUAAUUAUGUGGAAAUGAUCGAUAAUGCUAUAAUUUGGCAUUGUUUUUGAAUCAGAGGUUCAUUUUACAGAGAUUUGUCUGAAGAGGAGGCUUGUACCAGUGUUUGUUAGGGAGUUAAAAUCUUGUGAGAAUUUCUUAUUAUGUUUGGAGAAGAUUUAAGGCUUGACAUUAUGCCAACUGGAAGAAAUAUAGGUAAGUCCAGAAACCCACAAUUUAUUUUUAUGUCAUUUAUUAAUUUUUUUUAUAAGUUUUUUGUACACCAUAUUUUGUCGAGAUCUUGUUAUGUAAAAAAAAAGCACAUCACUGAAUAUUUCGAAAGAUCGAUCAAAGAGGAUAAGGGUUGCAGUAUAAUCCUAAUAAUUUAAUGAAACCAACUUAUGGAGUAUGACAUCAAUCUCAGACAGUUUUCUUUUUUAAUUGUCUGCUAAGAUGCCUUUCAAAUAGAAAUAAAAAGUCUACCUUGCAAAACUCAAAGGCUCAAUAACAUAAUAUAACUUAGCUUGAGAUAUCUUUUAUAAAAUCAUUCUUAAUGAUUAAAUUUUAGGAAUAUAUAUAUCUAUCUAUCAAAACGCCAUUCAAAUAGAAACAAAAAACCUACCUUGCAAAACUCUAAGACUCAAUAACAUAAUAUAACUUAAUGAUUAGCUGAUGCAAUUUUACUCAUGAAGCUCCAUCUUGCCCAUGACCUUGGUGCUUCUCAGCUUCUUAAUUUCCAGGACGAAAUGGAGGUAUCUGUCAUUAACUUUGUAAAUAUAUAUAUAAUGUUAUUUAUAUGUAUGUUGAUUUUAAUUCAAAAUAAUAUAUAUAUAUAUUAGGUGGGCAGAACAGUUGGUUUUUAUUAAUUAAUUUCGGAUUCGGAGGAAUUUCAAGUUUUCUUGAUUC